GGUGGGCACUCUAAGGAGACUGCCGGUGACAAACCGGAGGAAGUGGGGAUGACGUCAAGUCAUCAUGGCCCUUACGGCCUGGGCUACACACGUGCUACAAUGGUCGGUACAAAGGGUUGCCAAGCCGCGAGGUGGAGCUAAUCCCAUAAAACCGAUCGUAGUCCGGAUCGCAGUCUGCAACUCGACUGCGUGAAGUCGGAAUCGCUAGUAAUCGUGAAUCAGAAUGUCCACGGUCGAAUACGUUCCGGCCUU
rnacentral:rRNA from 1 species